GAGGCCUGAAAGACACAGGUGUAUGGGAGUUUUUCAGUUCCAGGCCACAUGCUGUGCCAGUCCUAUUCCCAAGGACCUGUGAUGCAGAGAUCACACCACAGAUGAUUCUGGACAACAUCCACUGCCCAGAGGAGGAGGACAUCGAUGACGACAUCGCCACCAUGGAGGACCACUGCAGAGUACUGACUUUCCUACAGAAAUUCAUAGAGACUGGUACCUCUGAAGAGCUGAAAUGUCUGCUGACAUUCUGGACUGGCUGGGGUGUUCUUUCUCUGAACCUGGAGGUGGAAAUUAUUGAUAUUGCCCUACCACAGUCAUCAACUUACUUUCAAACUCUGAAGCUGUCAAAAAAUGCAUUAAACUAUGACGACUUUCAUCAAGACCUGAA